AGACUCAAAUAGCAACUGGAGAUGGUAAGAGGUGAGGCUCCCUCUCCUCCUGGUUGGGAAAGAGGAAGUACAUAACCCCAAUAGCUGCCCGCAGCUAUCAGGAGGCGCGUGGAACGUGACAGCAGUAUGGGUGAAGAAACUAAGAAUCAGAGGAGUUCUAACUGAGCCAUGAGGACUCGAUUCCUGAAAACCUUAUUUAUAAAAAACAGGAAUGGGAACUAAAACAAGGCAACCUGUGCAAGCCCUUACAAGUUUUUCAUGUAUUACAGUAAAAGGUAAAGCAACUUAAAAACCACUUGACAUUUUUUAACAUUUGUAAAAUUUUGUAAUGCACAGUUGUCUCUCAUUUACCAUCCCUUGCUAGAAACUUCUUAGGCUCACCCUUCACUGCAUUUCCAACAUUAUUUUGCUGAUAAUGUAUACGCCCAAGUGACAUGUUUUCAUUUGGCUUAACUUUCAAUGCCUUUUUGAUUUUAUGAUCUAGUCCUUUAUUGCUGGACCCUUGAAUUGUAUCUAGUCUUCUGCUAUUACAAAAAAUGCUGAAUCAAAUAAACCUGAACAUGUAACAUCAUAAACGUGCAGUUAUAUUUGCACAGCAGGUCACCAGAGUGGGAUGGCUGGGUCAAAGAAAGGUUUAUUUAACCUGAACAGUAUUUCUUAAAACCCUCUUUCCUUUUUCUGAUACAUUACCAAUACAGCCUUAGCUCUAUAAUUAACUCUUAUGCCAAAGCUAGGACUGCAGUGUUGGCUCUCAGAUUUAGGGAGCAAUUGCUGACAUGUGGGUUAUUAUUAUUCCUCAGUUCCCUUUAUCACUCCCAAACCUUAGUUGCAGAUUUCUACAUUUAUUCUAGUAUAAGCUUUAGCUCCCUUAACUAUUUCUAACACAUUUUUCUUUUUCAAUUGUCUCCGUUAGACUGUUGAAAUUUAUAGAUGAACACCAUAACCUUUGAAAUUCUGGCUGAGAAGGUACAUGGUUACAGAUUCAAAUUUUAUGCAGAGGGGAACUUACAGGGGCACAAAAUCAGGAUACAGUUAUUCUUUCUAUUCGCCAUCUGUUACAUUCUCAACCUUUUUUUGCGGUCACCAAUGAAUGAGGAAAAGUUCUGAAAUGAGUUUUAAGAUACUGCUGGUAAUUUCUAAGUAUUAUUUAAAACUAUGAUCUAAACAGAAGAAAAGGGAGUAUCAGGUUACUUUUUUCUGGGUUAAAUCUUUUUGGGGGAAAGGUAGUAGAAAUGUAACUGAAGCGUUACUUCAAUAUUGCUACAAAGUAAAGUUUGGGAAAUUAUCGCUGUUUACAUAGUAGAGGGAAGCAAGUAGAAUUCCAGAUUUUAGCCAUAGAAGGUUUAGAUCAGAUUCUCUGGCAUUAAGGAGCUGACAGUUCAGGAGUGUAAAAAGAAUUUAAAGUAAACUACCUGAUGCCUUGUCUCUAAGUGCCAAGUGUUUUUUUUUUUUUUUUAAAUACUCUGCUAGUGGUUGGGCACGGUGUGUCACGCCUGUAAUCCCAGGACUUUGGGAGGCCAAGGUGGGCAGAUAACGAGGUCAGGACUUAGUUAGAGACCAGACUGGCCAACAUGGUGAAACCCCAUCUCUACUACAAAUACAAAAAAUAGCUGGGUGUGGUGGCAGGCUCCUGUUAACCCAGCUACUUGGGAGGCUGAGGCAGGAAAAUCAUUUGAACCUGUGAGGCGGAGGUUGCAGUGAACCAAGAUCAUGCCAUUGCACUCCAGCCUGGGCAACAGGGCAAGACUCUGUCUCAAAAACAAACAAACAAACAAAAAACCACUAUGCCAACGUAGAAAGAAAUUAAAGUAAACCUUAAUGAAAAGUAUACCACACAUCUCUUUCUUGCCUGUGGUUCUGAACAGGCUAUACAAGCUCACCUGCUAUAGAAAGAGCAUUUGGAACUUAGGCAAAAAUCUCGGUGGACUCUAGUUAACAUGUGUUCAUUUAGAGCAGGGUUUGGCAAGCAUUUUUCUGUAAUGGGCCACAGAGUAAAUUUUUAUAGUAAAUUUUUAUGUUUUGCAGGGCAUAUGGUCUUAGCAGCAAAACACAUGGCCAUGGCUAUGUUCCAAUAAAACUUUACUGAAGCAGGUGGUGACUUUAUUUGGCCUGAGGGCCAUUUGCUGACCUAUGAUUUAGAUAAUAUAUUACAUAUUUUUUCCCCCAAAUGCUCUAACAUUUAUUUAUUUUUUUUAGAUGGAAUCUUGCUCUGUUGCCCAGGCUGGAGUGCAGUGGUGUGAUCUUGCCUCACUGCAACCUCCACCUCCCAGGUUCAAGCAAAUCUCUGCCCCAGCCUCCCUAGUAGCUGGGAUUACAGGCAUCCACCACCAUGCCCGGCUAAUUUUUGUAUUUUUAGUAGAGACCGGGUUUCACUAUCUUGGCCAGGCUGGUCUUGAACUCCUGACCUCAUGAUCCACCCACCUCAGGUUCCUAAAGUGCUGGGAUUACAGGCUUGAGCCACUGCAACCAGCCUUUAACAUUUAUUAAACAUGCCAACUUUUUGAUAUAUGGGGGGAGUAAAGACAUCUUAAUCACUUUUACAGAUUUUACAAAGAAUAUAUUUUGGCUAUUAGCAGAAAUAGAAAAGAGGGCACAGAAUUCUAGCUAGAAGGAACGGAAUCAGGAAAGGCAGGGAGAUGUGACUUCAUAGCACACAGGGAAACUGAAAAAGGUGAACAGGACUGAGAACUGUGACAGAAAAGGAGGACUUAGGAAGGGAAAUGAGCUUUGACAGAAGAAUGAAUUUGAUUUUCGAACUUUUAGAGUUUGGAGGUAAUGGUUAAACAUCCAAGUAGAAUACAUGGAGUUAUCUUAAUACUUGGCACACUACGAACACUCACUGUUAGCUAACUGCGAGCUUCUCGUGAGCUAUUAGAAAUAGAAUAUUAGUGUUAGACUGAGGUUACGGCUGGGGAACUUGCAAGGGAAAAUAUUGAAAACUUAUGGAAGCAGAUUCCUUCAAAGAACUAAGAAGCGAGUACAGUUGAUCCUCAAACAACAUGGAUAUGAA
rnacentral:lncRNA from 1 species